GUGUAGAAACUCGUUGGUUAUAUGGAGAAUUGAAGUUGGUGAUGCAUGUUGUAUUUUGUGGGUUAAUGAGAUGUUUUUAACAGAUUUUUGGUGAAUCUGUUUUGUGUUUGUGCACCUUAUUUAUAAUAUAAUGUGAAGCAUCUCUGAAAGCAGAUUCAUUGGAAAAGAGGAUAAACAAGUGUAAA